rnacentral:hammerhead_ribozyme from 1 species
AUCCAGCUGAUGAGCCCCAAUAGGACGAAACGCGCGUCCUGGAU